rnacentral:rRNA from 1 species
CCGUAAUCCGGGUUGCGGACAGUGUCUGGUGGGUAGUUUGACUGGGGCGGUCUCCUCCUAAAGAGUAACGGAGGAGCACGAAGGUUGGCUAAUCCUGGUCGGACAUCAGGAGGUUAGUGCAAUGGCAUAAGCCAGCUUGACUGCGAGCGUGACGGCGCGAGCAGGUGCGAAAGCAGGUCAUAGUGAUCCGGUGGUUCUGAAUGGAAGGGCCAUCGCUCAACGGAUAAAAGGUACUCCGGGGAUAACAGGCUGAUACCGCCCAAGAGUUCAUAUCGACGGCGGUGUUUGGCACCUCGAUGUCGGCUCAUCACAUCCUGGGGCUGAAGUAGGUCCCAAGGGUAUGGCUGUUCGCCAUUUAAAGUGGUACGCGAGCUGGGUUUAGAACGUCGUGAGACAGUUCGGUCCCUAUCUGCCGUGGGCGCUGGAGAACUGAGGGGGGCUGCUCCUAGUACGAGAGGACCGGAGUGGACGCAUCACUGGUGUUCGGGUUGUCAUGCCAAUGGCACUGCCCGGUAGCUAAAUGCGGAAGAGAUAAGUGCUGAAAGCAUCUAAGCACGAAACUUGCCCCGA